GAUUGAGAUUCCUCUUUCAAUGUAUACUCAAUCACUGAGUUUACAUAAUUGGAACAUAAUAGUGAAGCAAAAUUCUCCGCUUUCUACUUAGCUUUUAUUUCUACAUGUAUCCUAAUGGCCACAUAAGCUGCCCAAUUGUAUACCAAACCUUCCAGUAUUCCUAUUAUCAAAAACAGUAAUCGCUUUGCCAUAUAGGUGAUAUGCCGAUUCAAUGCUAACCGCUUCUGAAUGAAUCGCAUCCAUUCUAUAAGUUCGCGCGUAAGUACCUCCUGUACCUUCUAUCCUUGAUUUUGCUCAAGAGAUGACAUCCCUCCUUUGAAGUAGCUUCCUAGCCUGAAAUCAUUUGACACGUCUCCUCUUACCUCAAGCUCUCUGGUUGAUAAAU
rnacentral:lncRNA from 1 species